UACGGGGGGGGCAAGCGUUGUUCGGAAUUACUGGGCGUAAAGGGCUCGUAGGUGGCCAACUAAGUCAUACGUGAAAUCCCUCGGCUUAACCGGGGAACUGCGUCUGAUACUGGAUGGCUUGAGGUUGGGAGAGGGAUGCGGAAUUCCAGGUGUAGCAGUGAAAUGCGUAGAGAUCGGGAGGAACAUCCGUGGCGAAGGCGGCCAUCUGGCCCAGCACUGACACUGAGGCACGAAAGCGUGGGGAGCAAACAGG
rnacentral:rRNA from 1 species